UUACGGGAGGCAGCAGUAAGGAAUUUUCCGCAAUGGGCGAAAGCCUGACGGAGCAAUACCGCGUGAGGGAUGAAGGCCUAUGGGUUGUAAACCUCUUUUUUCAGGGAGGAAUCACUGACGUGUACCUGAAGAAUAAGCAUCGGCUAACUCCGUGCCAGCAGCCGCGGUAAGACGGGGGAUGCAAGUGUUAUCCGGAAUUACUGGGCGUAAAGCGUCUGUAGGUGGUCAAAUAAGUCAACUGUUAAAUCUUGAGGCUCAACCUCAAAAUCGCAGUCGAAACUAUUAGACUAGAGUAUAGUAGGGGUAAAGGGAAUUUCCAGUGGAGCGGUGAAAUGCGUAGAGAUUGGAAAGAACACCGAUGGCGAAAGCACUUUACUGGGCUAUCACUAACACUCAGAGACGAAAGCUAGGGUAGCAAAUGGGAUUAGAUACCCCAGUA
rnacentral:rRNA from 1 species